UGAGGAAUAUUGGUCAAUGGGCGGGAGCCUGAACCAGCCAAGUCGCGUGAGGGAAGACGGUCCUAUGGAUUGUAAACCUCUUUAGGCGGGGAGCAAUGCCGGGCACGCGUGCCCGGAGGGAGAGUACCCGCAGGAAUAAGCAUCGGCUAACUCCGUGCC
rnacentral:rRNA from 1 species